rnacentral:rRNA from 1 species
UACGGGGGGAGCAAGCGUUGUUCGGAUUUACUGGGCGUAAAGGGCGCGUAGGCGGCGCAACAAGUCACUUGUGAAAUCUCCGGGCUUAACCCGGAGCGGCCAAGUGAUACUGUCGUGCUAGAGUGCGGAAGGGGCUACUGGAAUUCUCGGUGUAGCGGUGAAAUGCGUAGAUAUCCGGAGGAACACCGGUGGCGAAGGCGGCUUCCUGGACCGACACUGACGCUGAGGCGCGAAAGCCAGGGGAGCAAACGGG